CCAGAACCUGGGGAUAUGUUAUACUAUAUGGUAAAGGAGAACGACGCUGCAAAUAGAAUUAAGGUUGCUAAUCAGCUCACGAUGAGACAGGGAGAGACGCCGGAUUCCCCAGAUUAGCACUGGUGAUUUUUUAGUUGCCUAUUUCCUGCAGGAGAAAGGUCUGAGGAAGUGGGCAGUGUUUCACGUCUGUCACCAAGAUCGUUACAUCCCCCGCUGCCUGCCUGCGUCACCGAGGGACGUCUUCUCACCAGGCUCCUGCCCCAGUUGUUCUCAUCAGCACCCAGUGGAAAGGAAACGCCCAGGUGAAUGUGAACUAUUGUCAUAUCAAGGGUCCCGCUUAUUCUAAGCUAAUACUUUAGACCACACUUGGCCCUUAAAGAAUUCUUUAAAAUUUUAGCUGAUUUCUGUUGGGAGACGAUUCUUCACGGGCCUCUCAUGUUCAUGCAUGACUUAUGCUCUUAAGAGGCACUGACUAUCUUGGUUCUGGACUGCUUUUGCAGCCUAGGAAGAGAGAUAGCA